AUGAAGGUUGAAGAAGCAUUGGAAGAUCCGGAUUGGAUAAAUGCUAUGCAUGAAGAGCUACACAACUUUGAGAGAAAUCAAGUGUGGACAUUGGUCGAGAAGCCCGACAACAACCACAACAUCAUCGGUACCAAAUGGGUAUUUCGCAACAAGCAAGAUGAAGAUGGACAAGUGGUUCGCAACAAAGCACGUCUCGUUGCCCAAGGCUACACACAAGUCGAAGGUAUGGACUAUGGUGAGACAUAUGCUCCCGUUGCUAGACUUGAGUCCAUUCGCAUCUUACUUGCUUAUGCUAAUCACCAGGAUAUCACUUUGUACCAAAUGGACAUUAAAAGUGCUUUUCUAAAUGGUGAAAUUGAGGAGGAAGUUUAUGUUAAGCAACCUCCCGGCUUUGUCAAUCCUAAGAAACCUAAUCAUGUCUACAAACUUCACAAAACCCUUUAUGGUCUUAAACAAGCUCCUAGAGCAUGGUAUAAAUGCUUGACCAAGUUCCUUAUUGAAAAAGGCUUUGAAAUUGGAAAAAUAGAUUCUACUCUUUUUACUAAAAGGGUUAAUGGAGAACUAUUUGUAUGA
rnacentral:rRNA from 1 species